AUAGCCUUUCGAAAGGAAGAUUAAUACCCCAUAAUAUUUAGAAUGGCAUCAUUUUAAAUUGAAAACUCCGGUGGAUAGAGAUGGGCACGCGCAAGAUUAGAUAGUUGGUGAGGUAACGGCUCACCAAGUCUGCGAUCUUUAGGGGGCCUGAGAGGGUGAUCCCCCACACUGGUACUGAGACACGGACCAGACUCCUACGGGAGGCAGCAGUGAGGAAUAUUGGACAAUGGGUGCGAGCCUGAUCCAGCCAUCCCGCGUGAAGGACGACGGCCCUAUGGGUUGUAAACUUCUUUUGUAUAGGGAUAAACCUACCCUCGUGAGGGUAGCUGAAGGUACUAUACGAAUAAGCACCGGCUAACUCCGUGCCAGCAGCCGCGGUAAUACGGAGGGUGCAAGCGUUAUCCGGAUUUAUUGGGUUUAAAGGGUCCGUAGGCGGAUGUGUAAGUCAGUGGUGAAAUCUCACAGCUUAACUGUGAAACUGCCAUUGAUACUGCAUGUCUUGAGUGUUGUUGAAGUAGCUGGAAUAAGUAGUGUAGCGGUGAAAUGCAUAGAUAUUACUUAGAACACCAAUUGCGAAGGCAGGUUACUAAGCAACAACUGACGCUGAUGGACGAAAGCGUGGGGAGCGAACAGGAUUAGAUACCCUGGUAGUCCACGCCGUAAACGAUGCUAACUCGUUUUUGGGUUUUCGGAUUCAGAGACUAAGCGAAAGUGAUAAGUUAGCCACCUGGGGAGUACGAACGCAAGUUUGAAACUCAAAGGAAUUGACGGGGGCCCGCACAAGCGGUGGAUUAUGUGGUUUAAUUCGAUGAUACGCGAGGAACCUUACCAAGGCUUAAAUGGGAAAUGACAGGUUUAGAAAUAGACUUUUCUUCGGACAUUUUUCAAGGUGCUGCAUGGUUGUCGUCAGCUCGUGCCGUGAGGUGUUAGGUUAAGUCCUGCAACGAGCGCAACCCCUGUCACUAGUUGCCAUCAUUAAGUUGGGGACUCUAGUGAGACUGCCUACGC
rnacentral:rRNA from 1 species